rnacentral:rRNA from 1 species
AGUGAACGCUGGCGGUAGGCCUAACACAUGCAAGUCGAACGGCAGCACAGUAAGAGCUUGCUCUUACGGGUGGCGAGUGGCGGACGGGUGAGGAAUACAUCGGAAUCUACUUUUUCGUGGGGGAUAACGUAGGGAAACUUACGCUAAUACCGCAUACGACCUACGGGUGAAAGCAGGGGAUCUUCGGACCUUGCGCGAUUGAAUGAGCCGAUGUCGGAUUAGCUAGUUGGCGGGGUAAAGGCCCACCAAGGCGACGAUCCGUAGCUGGUCUGAGAGGAUGAUCAGCCACACUGGAACUGAGACACGGUCCAGACUCCUACGGGAGGCAGCAGUGGGGAAUAUUGGACAAUGGGCGCAAGCGUGAUCCAGCCGUACCGCGUGGGUGAAGAAGGCCUUCGGGUUGUAAAGCCCUUUUGUUGGGAAAGAAAAGCAGCAGGUUAAUACCCCGCUGUUCUGACGGUACCCAAAGAAUAAGCACCGGCUAACUUCGUG